CGUCAUCGUCUCUGCAGCAGCGUCAGAUCUUAACGUUCACAACAUUCACUGACGAGUCCCAUUCAGUCCACUUCAGUGCCGAGGACACGUCUGAUUGGCCGCAGCUGUGUGUGUGACAUCAUGUCUCGCCAACUUGUCUGCGUUUGCUUCGUUGCCGUCGCCCUGUGGUCAGUGUCUGUGCUCAGUGUGUCAGUCUUCUCAGAUCCAUCUCAUGCUCACAUGUUGCUUCGUUCUCGUCGAGCGAACUCAUUCCUGGAGGAGCUGAAACCUGCUUCCAUGGAGCGUGAAUGUGUGGAGGAGAAGUGUGACUUUGAAGAAGCCCAAGAGAUUUUCCACACGAGAGAAGCCACACUGGAGUUCUGGACAGUUUACACAGGUG